rnacentral:rRNA from 1 species
CCAGACUCCUACGGGAGGCAGCAGUGGGGAAUAUUGCACAAUGGGGGAAACCCUGAUGCAGCGACGCCGCGUGAGCGAUGAAGUAUUUCGGUAUGUAAAGCUCUAUCAGCAGGGAAGAAGAUGACGGUACCUGACUAAGAAGCCCCGGCUAACUACGUGCCAGCAGCCGCGGUAAUACGUAUGGUGCAAGCGUUAUCCGGAUUUACUGGGUGUAAAGGGAGCGUAGGCGGCGCGUUAAGUCUGAUGUGAAAACCCGAGGCUCAACCACGGGAGUGCAUUGGAAACUGGCGGGCUGGAGUGCCGGAGAGGUAAGCGGAAUUCCUAGUGUAGCGGUGAAAUGCGUAGAUAUUAGGAGGAACACCAGUGGCGAAGGCGACUUUCUGGACUGUACCUGACGCUGAGGCGCGAAAGCGUGGGUAGCGAACGGGAUUAGAUACCCUUGUA